CCUACGGGAGGCUGCAGUGAGGAAUAUUGGUCAAUGGACGAGAGUCUGAACCAGCCAAGCCGCGUGAGGGAUGAAUGUACUAUGGGUUGUAAACCUCUUUUAUCAAGGAAUAAAACCAGGCACGCGUGCCUUCUUGCAUGUACUUUAUGAAUAAGGAUCGGCUAACUCCGUGCCAGCAGCCGCGGUAAUACGGGGGAUGCGAGCGUUAUCCGGAUUUAUUGGGUUUAAAGGGUGCGUAGGCGGGCAUUUAAGCCGGCGGUCAAAUGCCGGGGCUCAACCCCGGCCUGCCGUCGAAACUGGGUGGCUUGAGUGGGCGAGAAGUAUGCGGAAUGCGUGGUGUAGCGGUGAAAUGCAUAGAUAUCGCGCAGAACCCCGAUUGCGAAGGCAGCAUACCGGCUCCCUACUGACGCUGAGGCACGAAAGUGUGGGUAUCGAACAGGAUUAGAUACCCGAGUAGUC
rnacentral:rRNA from 1 species